AGAGUUUGAUCCUGGCUCAGGACGAACGCUGGCGGCGUGCCUAAUACAUGCAAGUCGAGCGGACGAAUCGAAAGCUUGCUUUUGAUUCGUUAGCGGCGGACGGGUGAGUAACACGUGGGCAACCUGCCCUGUAGACGGGGAUAACACCGAGAAAUCGGUGCUAAUACCGGAUAACACGAAAUGUCGCAUGACGUUUCAUUGAAAGACGGCGCAAGCUGUCGCUACAGGAUGGGCCCGCGGCGCAUUAGCUAGUUGGUGAGGUAACGGCUCACCAAGGCGACGAUGCGUAGCCGACCUGAGAGGGUGAUCGGCCACACUGGGACUGAGACACGGCCCAGACUCCUACGGGAGGCAGCAGUAGGGAAUCUUCCGCAAUGGACGAAAGUCUGACGGAGCAACGCCGCGUGAGCGAAGAAGGCCUUCGGGUCGUAAAGCUCUGUUGUUAGGGAAGAACAAGUAACGCAGUAACUGGCGUUACCGUGACGGUACCUAACGAGAAAGCCACGGCUAACUACGUACCAGCAGCCGCGGUAAUACGUAGGUGGCAAGCGUUGUCCGGAAUUAUUGGGCGUAAAGCGCGCGCAGGCGGUUCCUUAAGUCUGAUGUGAAAGCCCACGGCUCAACCGUGGAGGGUCAUUGGAAACUGGGGGACUUGAGUGCAGAAGAGGAGAGCGGAAUUCCACGUGUAGCGGUGAAAUGCGUAGAGAUGUGGAGGAACACCAGUGGCGAAGGCGGCUCUCUGGUCUGUAACUGACGCUGAGGCGCGAAAGCGUGGGAGCAAACAGGAUUAGAUACCCUGG
rnacentral:rRNA from 1 species